CCGGGUGUAGCGCAGUUUUGGUAGCGCGCUUGAAUGGGGUUCAAGAGGCAGUGAGUUCGAUUCUCGCCACUCGGACCA
rnacentral:tRNA from 1 species